rnacentral:rRNA from 1 species
UACGGAGGAUGCGAGCGUUAUCCGGAUUUAUUGGGUUUAAAGGGUGCGUAGGCGGAGAGGUAAGUCAGCGGUGAAACUCAGGUGCUCAACACCUGCCGUGCCGUUGAUACUGCUUUUCUGGAAUGCGGAUGCUGUGGGAGGAAUGUGUGGUGUAGCGGUGAAAUGCAUAGAUAUCACACAGAACACCGAUUGCGAAGGCAUCUCACAAAUCCGUGAUUGACGCUGAGGCACGAAAGUGCGGGGAUCGAAC